rnacentral:lncRNA from 1 species
AUUUAAUUAUUUUAUCAAAAUUUUCUGAAAUCGAAUCUGCUUUUCAAUAGUUGAAUUACCAAGGUGCAGUUUCCUUUUGAAUUAAAUAUUGUUUUUUCCACCAAUCUCACUGUUCAAAGAUAAUUAAAAUAUUGUUUACUGUCAAAUUCCUACCAAGGUAAUAAAUGUUUGCUGUCCUCAAUAAAAGAAAAGAGAUUUUGGUACUUUUUCUUGUCUCC